AUGGUCGACGCGGGUCAAUGUGCAGUAUCUAUUCAUAUCAGCUUAACAUGUGAUGGGGGUUGUAUUUGGACCCAAGAUAUUAAACUUAUUUUUUCCAAGUUGACGGAGUGCUUGAAGCCUGCUUCAUCUCCACCGCGGGUUGGGCCGGUAUUGCACAAUCUUCGGUAUUUUCAGUCUACGGACU